GCUUGUCUCAAAGAUUAAGCCAUGCAUGUAUAAGUAUAAACGCUCUAAGCGUGAAACCGCGAACGGCUCAUUACAACAGCUAUAAUUUACUUGAUCUUGACAAACUUACAUGGAUAACUGAGGUAAUUCUUGAGCUAAUACAUGCACCAAAGCUUUGACCCUAAGGGAAGAGCGCAUUUAUUAGAACAAAACCAAACGGCUUCGGCUGUUCCCAGUUGAAUCAGAAUAACUCAGCUGAUCGUACGGUCUUGCACCGACGACGUGUCUUUCAAGUAUCUGCUUUAUCAACUUUCGAUGGUAGGGUAUCUGCCUACCAUGGUGGUGACGGAUAACGGAGGAUCAGGGUUCGACUCCGGAGAAGGGGCCUGAGAAAUGGCCACUACGUCUAAGGAUGGCAGCAGGCGCGCAAAUUACCCACUCUCAGAAUUUGGAGGAGGUAGUGACGAGAAAUAACGAGGUUGAUCUCUUCUGAGGCCAACCAUCGGAAUGGGUACAAUUUAAACCCUUUAACGAGUAUCUAUGAGAGGGCAAGUCUGGUGCCAGCAGCCGCGGUAAUUCCAGCUCUCAAAAUGCAUAGAAUUAUUGCUGCGGUUAAAAAGCUCGUAGUUGGAUCUGCAGCCGGAGCUCCGGUCCAUCUUCGGAUGCGUACUGGAUGUCUUCGGCUUUCUGACAGUGUUCGGCUCUGUGCCUCUAACCAGGUGUGGAUGUCCGAUACUGUAAGUUUACUUUGAAUAAAUCAGAGUGCUCUAAACAGGCGUUUUGCUUGAAUGAUUGUGCAUGGAAUAAUAGAAGAGGAUUUCGGUUCUAUUUUAUUGGUUUUAUAGACUGAGAUAAUGGUUAACAGAGACAAACGGGGGCAUUUGUAUGGCUACGUGAGAGGUGAAAUUCUUGGACC
rnacentral:rRNA from 1 species